rnacentral:sRNA from 2 species
UUUUAGCCCCGAUGGAAGCGACAUCCUUUUUCUGGCUUCUUUAGCCAGGAAAAGAUAUAGCGGAUAGCGGGAUUAGCU